CCUACGGGUGGCAGCAGUGAGGAAUAUUGGUCAAUGGACGCAAGUCUGAACCAGCCAUGCCGCGUGCAGGAAGACGGCUCUAUGAGUUGUAAACUGCUUUUGUACGAGGGUAAACGCAGAUACGCGUAUCUGUCUGAAAGUAUCGUACGAAUAAGGAUCGGCUAACUCCGUGCCAGCAGCCGCGGUAAUACGGAGGAUUCAAGCGUUAUCCGGAUUUAUUGGGUUUAAAGGGUGCGUAGGCGGUCGGAUAAGUUAGAGGUGAAAUCCCGAGGCUUAACUUCGGAAUUGCCUCUGAGACUGUUAGGCUAGAGAGUAGGUGCGGUAGGCGGAAUGUAUGGUGUAGCGGUGAAAUGCUUAGAGAUCAUACAGAACACCGAUUGCGAAGGCAGCUUACCAAGCUACUUCUGACGUUGAGGCACGAAAGCGUGGGGAGCAAACAGGAUUAGAUACCCCUGUAGUC
rnacentral:rRNA from 1 species